GAUGAACGCUGGCGGCGUGCCUAAUACAUGCAAGUCGAGCGAACAGACGAGGAGCUUGCUCCUCUGACGUUAGCGGCGGACGGGUGAGUAACACGUGGAUAACCUACCUAUAAGACUGGGAUAACUUCGGGAAACCGGAGCUAAUACCGGAUAAUAUAUUGAACCGCAUGGUUCAAUAGUGAAAGACGGUUUUGCUGUCACUUAUAGAUGGAUCCGCGCCGCAUUAGCUAGUUGGUAAGGUAACGGCUUACCAAGGCAACGAUGCGUAGCCGACCUGAGAGGGUGAUCGGCCACCCUGGAACUGAGACACGGUCCAGACUCCUACGGGAGGAAGCAGUAGGGAAUCUUCCGCAAGGGGCGAAAGCCUGACGGAGCAACGCCGCGUGAGUGAUGAAGGUCUUCGGAUCGUAAAACUCUGUUAUUAGGGAAGAACAAAUGUGUAAGUAACUAUGCACGUCUUGACGGUACCUAAUCAGAAAGCCACGGCUAACUACGUG
rnacentral:rRNA from 1 species